AGUCUGUCUGAUUAGCAAAAAACACACACUGGUUAAACAGCCUGUAGUGUAAUCACUGCUUGUAAUCACAGCUGGCCUCAAUAAACCUUCAAGAAAGAGGAAUACCCCAGAGGAAGCCUUGCUGUCCUGGCACUCAGGAAGGGCACACCAGUGCUCCAUAAAGUGCAUUGGACUGCCCUGAUCCGGGUUUCAGGAUGAACUGGGUGACCGAGGGCUGCUCACAGAGGAAUGACCACAGCACUUCCUUAGCACAGGCAGCAUACAAGAGAUUUUUACUGUAGGAGAAUCAAGGAGCACAACAAUCAUCUAAUUAAUGGCUGAAGUGGCUUAUAACCAUGAGUCUUCAAGGGAUUGCAGUCCAGUCCCUGGGAGCUGACAAUGGAAGCUCAGAGUACUCAGAAGCUUUAUAUCUACAUCUUCUGUGACUGCCCAGCUGCUCCAGCAGCUCUGCUUUUCAUUAAUAGAACAGCUACAACCUGAUUCUUCAUGGAAGGUUUUGAUGUUUUUUAGGUACUUUACAGCUUAUGUUUAAAAUGAAUACAACUAUUAAUCAGGACUCUAAACAAGCCCUGGUUCCAGAUGCUUCAAGGGUGCCAAUAUGGUUUGAGGAAUAAAGCUGAUGUUACAGCUGAAGUUGAGAAAUAUUGAUGAAAGAUCCCAGGACAGUAAUUGAACAGAAGAUUUCAGACUGUUGGGGAGAUGGAUGGUAACUCUGUAUGAGUCUGGAACGUGGUGUUUGGGUUUUGUUUGGUUUCAGCUUUUGGCUUGUUUCUUUUUUUUUUCCAUGCCAAUCCCCACUGCUGGCUGGAGGAAAUUCACAUUUGGCAUUCAAUCUGUGAUAACAUUUAAAAUUAAAAUUUACAGAAGCUAUGCUUUUCUCUCUUCCCCAAGAGAGGAAGCAGUUACUGAACUAUGCCAUCUAUUUAUUUAUUUGCUUUUUUGCAUAUUUCUGUCCACAGCAGGGAAACCUCUCCUCUUGGUUUUCUGCUCAUUUUACCUGAG